AAGUAUGUGAAUUUUCCUGUCCUGCUAAGCAUUCAAAAUGAAUCUUCUAGUUUGGGUGGAAGGAUAGAGGUAACAACGGGAAGGAGUACAGAAGUUAUCCAGGCUGCUGACUAAGAAAUUUCCACUACUGCAGUGCUUGGCCACCCACUCAGUUACUAGUGACCUAUUCUGCCACAUCCCAGGGAAUGGAGAGAGCAGAACCACCAUUCCUUAAAUCCAUAAUCAUUGACAAUCGGACCUAUCACAUGACUCUUCGAGAAGGCCACUACUCUCCAGAUCACCUUCUGUGCUCUGAGGUCCUUGAUGAGGAUCUACCCCAUCACAACCCUCUUAUUAAUCAUAAUCAAAUAAAACAAUCAGCCUUUAUAUACUCCCAGUAUUUCUAUGCAUUAUGAAACAAUUACUGUAUGCAGAUUGUGAUUUACAUUUGUUUUUACCAUCGCUUGAUCUAUUUUAAAUGUAAGAAUAUGUUGCAGAUUAACUUUAAUCGGUAACUAUGGAAUCCAUUAGAAAUGUAACGAACAACAUAUUCAAUAUCAAGCUUUAUCCCCUGCAAUACUUUUUACAGUACACUCUUAGAAAAAAAGGUGCUAUCUAGAACCUAAAAGGGCUAUUCGGGCUGUCCCCAUAGGAGAACCCCUUCGGUUUCAGGUAGAUCCCUUUAGCGUUCUAUGUAGGAUCCUUUCCUGGAACCCUUUUUUCUAAGUGUGUAGGUAACAAGCUGUAGUCAGAUGGCCAUUACCAGGUUAUGAUGAGGUCUUACUAUGACAAGUAGGCUACAUAAUAUAGUGGUCAGAAUUAUGACCAGCUGGUCAGAUAGAGGUCACAAUUGCCCUCAUUGCCUUCAUUGUUUUCAUUACAUGACAAUAACUCUGGACAUGUGUGCGUUUCUAUCAAAGUAAAUGCCUUACUAGGUUCUCAAAAGUUUCUGUAUGUCGUUUCUACUGUAGCUCACUAUGUACGGAGCAUCAUAUAUUUGUGUGUAUUCCUUAUAACCACGGACAUAACUCUUAUGGUGUUAUACUCAGUUGUGCUUAUGUAGCUAGCUACAUUCUUCUAUUAAUGUAGCUCUGUAAAAUAAUGCUAAUGGUGUCAGGAUUAGCUUGUGUUGUCUUUUGAAGCUGCCCUGGUCUUAUGACCAUGGUCUGUGUUUUCAUUUGACCUGUUUAGCAUAGCUCUGCUUUGCCUUGCCCUGUCCCCUUGUAGAGCUUUCAUUUUGU